GGAUGUAGCUCAGUUGGUAGAGUGCUCGCCUGGCAUGCCUGAGGCCAUGAGUUUAAUCCCUAACACCA
rnacentral:tRNA from 1 species